AGUUGCGGCCAUACCAAGAAGAAAACACAGUUCCCCGUCCGAUCAACAUCAGUUAAGCUUCUUUGGGCCUACUUAGUACUGCGGUGGGAGACCACGCUGGAAUCGUAGGUGCUGCAAUUA
rfam:Lipomyces starkeyi NRRL Y-11557 unplaced genomic scaffold LIPSTscaffold_49, whole genome shotgun sequence.